rnacentral:rRNA from 1 species
CAACAGCUAGAUUUGAUCCUGGCUCAGGGCGAACGCUAGCGACGUGCCUGCGACAUGCAAGUCGAGCGGAGUGGAGCACUUCGGUGGUUCACUUAGCGGCAAACGGUCGAGUAACACGUAAGGAACCUGCCCUUAAGACCGGGACAACAGCUCGAAAGGGCUGCUAAUACCGGAUGUGGCGCGUGAGACGCAUGUUUUCGCGUUAAAGGGCUGCUGGAGGUAACGAAAGCAGUCGCUUAGGGAGGGUCUUGCGGUCCAUCAGCUAGUUGGUGGGGUAACGGCCUACCAAGGCGUCGACGGAUAGCUGGUCUGAGAGGACGAUCAGCCGGACUGGGACUGAGACACGGCCCAGACUCCUACGGGAGGCAGCAGUCGGGAGUCUUGCACAAUGGGGGAAACCCUGAUGCAGCGACGUCGCGUGUGGGAUGACGUAUUUCGGUAUGUAAACCACUUUUGAAUGGGACGAAGACAGUGACGGUACCAUUCGAAUAAGCCCCGGCUAAACUACGUGCC